UACGUAGGUGGCAAGCGUUGUCCGGAUUUACUGGGCGUAAAGAGCGUGCAGGCGGUCGUUUAAGUCGAAUGUGAAAGCCCCCGGCUCAACUGGGGAGGGUCACGCGAUACUGGUCGACUCGAAGGCAGGAGAGGGUAGUGGAAUUCCCGGUGUAGUGGUGAAAUGCGUAGAUAUCGGGAGGAACACCAGUGGCGAAGGCGACUACCUGGCCUGUUCUUGACGCUGAGGCGCGAAAGCUAGGGGAGCAAACGGG
rnacentral:rRNA from 1 species